GUGUCAGCAGCCGCGGUAAUACGAAGGGACCUAGCGUAGUUCGGAAUUACUGGGCUUAAAGAGCUCGUAGGUGGUUAAGAAAGUUGGUGGUGAAAUCCCAAGGCUCAACCUUGGAACUGCCACCAAAACNUUUUGACUAGAGUAUGAUAGAGGAACGUGGAAUUUCUAGUGUAGAGGUGAAAUUCGUAGAUAUUAGAAAGAACACCGAAUGCGAAGGCAACUUUCUGGAUCAUUACUGACACUGAGGAGCGAAAGCAUGGGUAGCGAAGAGGAUUAGAUACCCUCGUAGUCCAUGCCGUAAACGAUGUGUGCUAGACGUUGGAAAUUUAGUUUUCAGUGUCGCAGCAAAAGCGUCAAGCACACCGCCUGGGGUGUACGACCGCAAGGUUAAAACUCAAAUGAAUUGACGGGGACCCGCACAAGUAGUGGAGCAUGUGGUUUAAUUCGAAGAUACGCGCAGAACCUUACCAACACUUGACAUGUUCGUCGCGACUCUAAGAGAUUAGAGUCUUCGGUUCGGCCGGACGAAACACAGGUGCUGCAUGGCUGUCGUCAGCUCGUGUCGUGAGAUGUUGGGUUAAGUCCCGCAACGAGCGCAACCCUUACUUUUAGUUGCCACCAUUUAGUUGAGCACUCUAAAAGAACUGCCAGUGAUAAGCUGGAGGAAGGCGGGGAUGACGUCAAGUCCUCAUGGCCCUUACGUGUUGGGCUACACACGUGCUACAAUGGCACUUACAAUGAGAAGCUAAGAGGCGACUCCAAGCCAAUCUCAAAAAGGUGCCUCAGUUCGGAUUGCACUCUGCAACUCGAGUGCAUGAAGCUGGAAUUACUAGUAAUCGUGGAUCAGCGCGCCACGGUGAAUACGUUCCCGGGUCUUGCACACACUGCCCGUC
rnacentral:rRNA from 1 species